rnacentral:rRNA from 1 species
AGAGUUUGAUCAUGGCUCAGGACAAACGCUGGCGGCGUGCCUAACACAUGCAAGUCGAACGGGGUACGUUCUUCGGAGCGUACCGAGUGGCGGACGGGUGAGUAAGACGUGGGCGACCUGCCGCUUGGAGGGGGAUACCCCGCGGAAACGCGGGUUAAGACCGCAUACGCUGGUCUGGGUAGAUCCGGAUCAGGAAAACGCUUCGGCGUGCCAAGUGAGGGGCCUGCGGCCGAUUAGCUAGUUGGGGGGGUAACGGCCUCCCAAGGCGACGAUCGGUAGCUGGUCUGAGAGGACGAUCGGCCACACUGGGAUUGAGAACGGCCCAGACUCCUACGGGGGGCAGCAGUGAGGGAUCUUCGGCAAUGGGGGAAACCCUGACCGAGCGACGCCGCGUGCGGGACGAAGGCCUUCGGGUCGUAAACCGCUUUUCUUGGGGACGAGAAUGGACGGUACCCGAGGAAGAAGCUCGGCUAACUACGUGCCAGCAGCGCGGUA